GACUGAAGGGAAAAAUAAAUAGUUGUACAAUAAUAGUUGAAGAUUUUAAUACCCCACUUUCAAUAACAGAUAGAACAACUAGACAGAAGAUGAGCAAAGAAAUAGAGACUUGA